GCUAAGACCCUAGCCCCCCCCCCCGCCCACAUAUGAGGCUCGCACUUUCAAACACAAACUAAAAUAUUCCAAAAAUUUAGUAAAGAAGAUUGAAAAAUUAUAAGGAGCUUUAAGUACCGCAAGGGAAAGGUGAAAUAAUAAUGAAAAUCCGCAAGCACAAAAUAGUAGAGCUUCACCCUCGUACCUUUUGCAUCAUGGUUUAACUAGUCUAACCAAGCAAAAAGACUUUUAGUUUGACACCCCGAAACUAAGUGAGCUACUCCGGGGCAGCUCAAGGAGCCAACCCGUCUCUGUUGCAAAAGAGUGGGAAGACCCCCCAGUAGAGGUGAUAAACCUAACGAACUUAGCGAUAGCUGGUUACUCAAUAAGAGAAUUUUAGUCCAACCUAAAGCCACGAAUCUUCUAAACGAAAUAAAACCCUGACUUUAGAGCAACUCAAAUAGGGUACAGCCUAUUUGACAUAGGAUACAACCUACCCAGAUGGGUAAUUUCCUGUAAUCACUAACCAAGUUGGCCUAAGAGCAGCCACCUUUCAAAAUGCGUCACAGCUUAAUUACUUUUCCUCACAAUCCCCAUGCUAACACAGAACCCUCCUCCACCACUGAGUAAUUCUAUAAUUAUAUAGAAAAUCUUAUGUUAAAACUAGUAACAAGAAGCAGAACUUCUCUUAUAUACAAGUUUACGCCAGUAAGGACAGCCCCCUGGCAACUAACAAUUACGACCAGCAGCACCAUAAGCAAGAAACUCCUGCUUCUCCAAUUGUUAACCUAACACCAGAGUAUAUCAAUGAAAGAUUAAAGGGGGAAGAAGGAACUCGGCAAAUCAUAAUCUCGCCUGUUUACCAAAAACAUCGCCUCUUGCUUAAUAUAAGAGGUCCAGCCUGCCCAGUGACUUACGUUCAACGGCCGCGGUAUACUAACCGUGCAAAGGUAGCACAAUCACUUGUCCCUUAAAUGGGGACCUGUAUGAAAGGCAUCACGAGGAUUAGACUGUCUCCUCCCCCCAAUCAGUGAAACUAAUCUCCCUGUGAAAAAGCAGGCAUAACCCUAUAAGACGAGAAGACCCUAUGGAGCUUCAAACAAUAUAACAACUGCCCUAUCUUCCUCCUUUCAGAAGAGCCACCUACAGCGCAUAUUGAUUAUAAGUUUUUGGUUGGGGUGACCGCGGAGAAAAAAAUAUCCUCCACAUUGAAUGGGCCUAAAACUCAAGCCAAAAGAUACAGCUUUACGAACCAAUAAAUCGGCAUUAAUUGACCCAAGUAAUUUGAUCAAUGAACCAAGUUACCCUAGGGAUAACAGCGCAAUCUACUUUGAGAGUACAUAUCGACAAGUAGGCUUACGACCUCGAUGUUGGAUCAGGAUGUCCCAGUGGUGCAGCCGCUACUAAAGGUUCGUUUGUUCAACGAUUAAUAUCCUACGCGAUCUGAGUUCAGACCGGAGAAAUCCAGGUCGGUUUCUAUCUAUAAGGGGCACCCUCUAGUACGAAAGGACCGAGAAAGCGUGGUCAAUAAAAUAUUUAAACCACCCAGCUAAUUUAUGACAACCUCUUAACAAAAUUUGCACCCUGCAUAGCUCUCAAGACCAGAG
rnacentral:rRNA from 1 species